GGAUGUCACAGAAUGAGCUCUGCGUGAUAGCUGUGAACUGUGCAGGCCCUGGACUUCUCAACAUGCCCUUUGCCUCUCAUUGCAAAGGAACUCAUCAGUAUGUUUGAUAUGACUGUGAGGCUGAAGAGCCACAUGGUGGUUUGUGUUGGGACAGCACCAUGCAUUUUUUGAACAUGCAGUUUAUUUUUUGAGCAUUCAGUUAACACUAACCAAAGUGAAAUCAUUCUUGAGUAAACCUUGAGUGACCCAGGGGAGUCACUGAGUUAUAAAGACAAUGCUUGAUGUCUCAGCACUGUCCUUUCUGAGGUACAAUUUCUAUUAACGUGGAUAUUGAUCUCAUUUCUGUAGAGGCUAAGGGCACCUUCUGUGCUUUCCUUUUUUUUUAAGCAUAGACUACUGCAUGAGCUGAGGCUCUACAGUACUUUGCAGAAUCAGCCACAGUGUACAAGUUUAUCUGUAUCACAUCAGCUGUUUUCUCUCAGCUUUCACAAUGCUCAAACUAAUGAACUGUAGUAUGAGGUUUAUGUGGCAUCUCCCAGGCUAAUCAAGUUCUAUGCAUUUUGCUGAGUGCAAAACCUUUACAGCUUGAAGAAAUCUCUAGGACUGUUGUCCUUGAACUAUUUUUCUGUCAGGCUGAUCAUGUACAAGUGGCUCUUGUAGACACAGAUAUCUCUUUUGUGCUCAGAGAUGUAGCUUGUUUCUGUUGCCUUCUGAGCCAGGAAGCAGAACACUAUAGCUGUAUGUUUGCCCUGGCCAGGACUCGUCACCACCACCACCAGUGAUGUGGCAAAAAGAAGGCAUACCAGCAUGAGGGAGCACAAGAACCAUUUGCCAUCCCUAUUCACAAGACCAGGCAAAUGGUUUCUGACUAGUACCAGAUUAUCCUCAAGAACAGUUAUGGAGAAUGCCUUUAUGACAUUCAGAUGCAAGUUGCAGGUACAGUAUAGAACAAACUUGAUCAUCUUGGUCACCUCUGGGUACUGACAGGAGGUAUUCCUCUGUUGACAGAAAUUUCACACAAUUUCUCCAUCAAUACUGGAGUUGGGGAGGUUGGGUUUUUCCCUGGGGAAAAAAGCAAAGAAAAAAAAAAGAAUUAUCCCAAUCAUACACACCCCUUAUCUUAAAAAAGCCACAGGAGCAAUCCAAAAUAUUUCCACUCAAGGGGAGAAAGACUUCCUGGUCAGAAAGGAUUUUCCUACCUCUUGUCACUGUGUUUCUUAAGUCCCAUCUUCACACUAGGUCAGAGACAGUUAGCUGGGCCAAGCAGCAUGGUUCAGAGCCAAGGGGUAAGGAAGGUGCUUCUAGGGCUUUGGUCACUCUGUCCAAUGUGGAAGGAAUUGGUGAAGCAGUUGUUGCUCCAGACAUCACCAAAUGCUGCCUUGUUUUUCAUGCCAUUACUUGAUCGGGCAAAUCCCCCUAACGGCGCUAACACAACAGUGUCUGUCCCCUCAGCAGUCUGGUGACAUCAUUUCUAUUGCAAGUGGGCCUGUGACAGCCAAGUGGAGGCAGGCUGGCUUGCUCCUGCUUAAUGAGAUGGCUUACUGCUCCUGCUUACUUAAGCUCCUGCUUACUGCUUGCUCUUCCUUGCUGAGAGACUCCUGUUACUGUAAUGAUUUGUUGGGGGUUUGGAACCUUUGCAGUGUACGUUGUACUUACCAGCUCUACAAAGAGUGCUUUAAAAAACUAACAGACUUCCUUUUUCAUGAGACGGGAACUACAUGCACAGGGAAAAUUGGCCCUCAGGUUGCUCAGGCUAGAAGAAAUCAAGGAAAGAAAUACUUCCCUAGACACACAGGGACUAUGGAAGGGAGGAGCUGAACUGAAAACAUUUUAACCUCAGAAAAAUACAGAGGAAGCGUCCCAAACAGAAGAAAUCAGUACUUAAAUGUGCUCAUUAAUUCUUAGAUUUCCCCUGACCACCUGCUGAUGUGCAGCUGGUUGAAGAAAUCCCUAAUGCCCUAAUGCUGUGACCCUAAAUCAUAACUCAGGGGUAGAAGAUGACUAGCAGACAGAUAAUUGUGUCCUGAAAUGUGAUAUCAGUUCUGCCACAUGGUUCACAGCCGCAGAGGUCUACAGCAAUAAGUACACUGUCACAGGCCUGCUCCCAGGGAGGAAAGACUUCCGAGUUAUUGUCUGCAGUCUCACUGGGGACACUGACCCUCUGGAUUCACAGGAGCAGUGGUACAUCUCCAAAGACAGAGAUACCACAGACACUGCACUGGGUAAAGCAAGUAAAAAAUUGUAAGACACAAAAUGGAAGAAAAUAAGACACUCCAUAUCCCACUCUCCCUCCCUAUUUUUUUCGAUGCUGGAAGCUACCACCCACUGAAACUUUAAAUCAGGUUGUAACACCUUGGUUCCAGCUGUCUCAAAUUGGUCCUGUAAGACUGUACACUUCCAGGUGCAUAGGAUGACGUUUUACUACCAGUAACUCAUGUCUUCGUGCCACCAUGCCCAAACUUA